rnacentral:rRNA from 1 species
UACAGAGGGUGCGAGCGUUGUCCGGAAUCACUGGGCGUAAAGGGCGCGUAGGCGGCUUCUUAAGCGUGUGGUGAAAGCGCGGGCUCAACCCCGCGUCGGCCGUGCGAACUGGGGAGCUGGAGCACGUCAGAGGCAGGCGGAAUUCCGGGUGUAGCGGUGGAAUGCGUAGAGAUCCGGAAGAACGACCGGUGGCGAAGGCAGCCCCUGGUCAAGAUUGACGCUC